GCACUGUCAUUGGUAGGUGUAGUCAACAGAAAUGAAAUAGCAUAAAGCUCAGAUGGAUAUCAAUCAAUACCUUUCUCAAUCUAAAUCGUGAUAGGAUUAAGAACAAUGAUCGGAACAAAAUAUGCACAUGAAGCGUUAUCGUGGAAAAUAUACACAAGUAAUAAUAUUGCCUCGUGACACAACCACAUACAAUACAUUGCUGUUGACUACACCUACCAAUGACAGUGCUGACUGACUGAAGCUGCAAAAAACAGGAACAAAGAAAGCACUGAAAGAUCAUCACACGCUAUUUUUGCGCUACAGCUGAUGUUGCCAGCAAGUAUCAUCUCUCAUCAGUCAUCACCAGUGAAUAUCAUCUACGCCCAUCAAUCAAUCCCUCCAGUUCUCUUCUCCCAAACCUCCUUCCCUCUGAAUGAGCUUCCUUACAUCUUGCAGCAAAGUAAAAUAUCAACCAAGCUACCAUAAAGUAAACCUCCACGGUUGACUGAAAAAUUGCAGCCAAAAACUUGCCAAAAACCCGAGUUAAGACCCAUCUUGCUGUUUGAAAAAGAAAUUUCAGGGUUUUUAUUUGGAUAGCCUGGUUAAACAUAGUUGAUAUCAAAUAACAACCUUCUUUAACAAUCUCUCUCCCCGUCCUUCUUGAAUCCACAAUGGUAACCCAUGCAUC
rnacentral:misc_RNA from 1 species